rnacentral:lncRNA from 1 species
ACGUUUGCAUGAAUAGUACCUCAUAUCGAAGGUUAUGGUUUCUUGGGUUUUUCAAGGUCCCAAGUCCUAAAAAUGGUAUUUAUGAACUCAGGGGCUUGCAAAGAGUUUGAAUCUUACCUUCUUGACGUCAAUCCGUGCAUGAAAUGCGAGUUUGGCGUUCAUUCGUACGUUAGGGAAGGAGAGAGAGUGAGUCCGAGGGAGAGAGAGCACGGGAGAGAAGUGAGAGGAAGAGUUUGUGUGUGUGUGAGUGGUCCACGUGGUCACCAACCAAAACCACAAAACCAAUUUCAAACUUUGUUCCAAAAAUUAAGGAAAAUGCAAGUUUGGACCACCAUUUACAUGCAUAACACACCACAACGCUCACAUCCAAGGGUAAAAUAGUCAAUUCACGUCAUCGAUAAUUUAUUUCGGGACGGGCUGUGACAAUCUACCCACCUUAUAAAAUUUCAUCCUCGAAAUUACACGCAACCAAUACAUCCACUAAUAGUCAUAAAACAAGCGUGGAUACAUCUCUCUCAUUCGAUCCUCUGUCUCCCAGGUAGCUUCUUCUACUGAGUGAUUUCUCCAUAAUACUUUCACCAAAUGACUGUCUUAUUCCUCAGCUCCUUAUCUUUCCAAUCCAAAAUAGUCACUGGUUCCUCGUCAUAAGUCAAAUCCAAAUUAAAAUCCAAAUUAAUUUCCAAAGGUUGAGGAGGAAUCACAUGUGAAGGAUCUGAGACAUAAUGUCGAAGCAUCGAAACAUGAAACACAUCGUGUACCUUGGACAACUCUGAAGGCAACUCAAGCCUGUAAGCAACCUCACCGACUUGCUCGGUGAUCAUAUAUGGUCCAAUGUACCUAAGAUUCAACUUGUCUUUCUUUCCAAAUCGUACAACACCUUUCCAAGGUGAUAGCUUCAAAAAUACCCAAUCACCUACAUUAUACCUCCGGUCAGUGACAUGCUUGUCUGCUAAGCUCUUUUGUCGAUCCUGGGCCGCUUUCAGGUUAGACUUAAUUACCUGAACAUUUUGAGUAGUCUUGUCCACAAUAUCAGGGCCCACUAAAACUCUUUCGCCAACCUCUGACCAACAUAGAGGCUUACGACAAGAUUUCCUAUAAAGUGCUUCAAAUGGUGCCAUACCAAUGCUCGAAUGGUAACUGUUGUUGUAGGCGAACUCCAUCAAAUCCAAACAAUCAUGCCAACCAUCGCCAAACUGAAGUACUGAAGAUCUCAGCAUAUCCUCUGUCUGAAUGGUCCUCUCAGAUUGCCUAUCUGUCUGAGGAUGAUAUGUUGUACUAUAAAGUAAUCUCAUAUCAAGAGCCUCCUGAAAUGCUACCCAUAACUUGGAAGUAAAUCUAAGGUCCCGAUCCGAGAUAAUAUUAACUGGAACACCAUGGUACUUCACAAUCUUCGAUAUGAAUAACUUAGCUAAUCGGGUUAAUGAAUAUUUCUCCCUCACUGGAAUAAAAUAUGCUGACUUAGUAAGCCGAUCAACUAUCACCCAAAUGCCGUCAUAACCAUUAUGUGUACGAGGAAGCUUGUACACAAAAUCCAUAGUAAUAUUUUCCCACUUCCACUGUGGAAUGGGAAGCGGCUGCAUCAAUCCAAACAGCUUCUUCCUUUCAGCUUUAACCUAUUGGCAAAUGGCACACCUACUCACAUAUUCGGCAAUUUCUCUUUUCAUACCCGGCCAAUAAUAAAAUGGUCGAAUGGUAUGAUACAUCUUGGUGCCUCCUGGAUGCAUUACAUAUGCUGAAAUAUGUACUUCAUCAAGGAUUUCUUUCUUUAACUCUGCGUUAUUCGGCACAUACAUUCUGCUCUCCUGCAUAAGCAUACCAUCAGUUUCUCGAAUCCUGAAAUCUUUCUUCUUCCCUUGAUUCCUGGCUUGAAUUAUUUCCUGGGCCUCUUCAUCAUUCAUUUGGGCCUCGAGCACACGAUCAAUUAAAAUUGGCCUAACUUGAAAAUUUGCAAGCAAGGCUUCCUCUCAAUCUUCCACUCCUAACUCCACUCUAGUGGACCUCAAAUCCGCAAGAAGAGGAACAUGACAAUCAUAGAUGGCAUUAAGUCUAGCUGGAGUAUUCCUACUAAGUGCAUCUGCCACUGCAUUUGGACGACCAGGGUGAUACUCAAUCGUGCAAUCAUAAUCACUAAGUAACUCUAUCCACCUCCGCUGCCGAAGAUUAAGAUCCCUUUGAGUAAAAAGAUACUGAAGACUCUUAUGAUCUGUGAAGAUCUUACAUUUCUCACCGUAAAGAUAAUGUCUCCAAAUCUUCAACACAAAGAUGAUAGCUGCUAACUCCAAAUCAUGAGUAGGGUAGUUUUUCUCACGAAGUUUCAAUUGUCUCGAAGCAUAAGCAAUCACCCUACCAUGUUGCAUCAAUACACAACCCAGACCAUUUAAAGAAGCAUCGCUGUAAACCUCAAAAUUACCACUAUCAUCUGGGAGUGCUAACAUAAGUGCAUGAGUGAGAUAAUAUUUCAACUGCUGAAAACUUUACUCACAAUUAUCAUCCCAUACAAACUUAACAUCCUUCCGGGUCAACCUCGUCAAUGGCAAAGCAAUCACUAAAAAAUCCUUAACGAACCGUCUAUAAUAGCCUACUAGGCCAAGAAAACUUCGUACCUCGGUGACGGUUAGAGGUUGCUCCCAAUUCUCCACAGUUGCCACUUUUUGAGAAUCCACUUGAAUGCCUUGAGCAGAAAUGACAUGUCCCAAAAAUGCCACUUGAUCCAACCAAAAUUGACAUUUGCUAAACUUCGCAUAUAAUUGGUGUUCUCUCAAACUUUUCAACACCAAUUUAAGAUGUCUAGCAUGCUCAACCUUAGACUUAGAGUAUACCAGAAUAUCGUCAAUGAAGACAAUAACAAACCUGUCCAAAUAUGGCUGGAAUACUCGAUUCAUCAAAUCCAUAAAAGCUGCUGGUGCAUUAGUUAAUCCGAAUGGCAUCACGAAACUCAUAAUGACCAUAUCGAGUCCUGAAUGCAGUCUCAGGGACAUCUUCAUUUCUAAUCUUCAACUGGUAGUAACCCGAUCGCAAAUCAAUCUUAGAAAAUACACAGGCACCUCGGAGUUGAUCAAAUAAAUCAUCUAUACGAGGCAAUGGAUAACGGUUUUUAAUUGUUACCCUAUUUAAUUGCCUAUAAUUAAUGCAUAACCUCAAGGUUCCGUCUUUCUUCCUCACAAAUAAAACUGGAGCUCCCUAAGGUGAAGUACUAGGCUGAAUAAAACCUUUAUCCACUAGUUCUUGCAAUUAAACUUUCAAUUCCCUUAAUUCAGCAGAAGCCAUUCUAUAAGGAGUCAAAGAUGUAGGAUUCGUACCUAGAAGUAGAUCAAUAACGAACUCCACAUCUCUAUCUAGCGGUAAUCCAGGCAAAUCCUCAGGGAAUACAUCCAGAAAAUACCUAACCACACGUACAUCCUCCACACUACUAGGAGCAUCAUCAUUCAACACCACAUGAGCCAAAUAUCCCUGACAACCUUUCGACAACAAUCUUUUGGUUUUCAUGGCAGAAAUAACACCAUGCUUCACCCCACUAGGCUCUCCUACAAAUGUAACUUCAGGUUAUCCAGGACAAUGAAAUGUGAUUGUCUUUGCAUAACAACCUAUCUUGGCACGAUUAUAGUGCAACCAAUCAGUGCCCAAAAUCACAUCAAAAUCCAUAAUAUCCAACGGCAUAAGAUUAGAUGGCAUAACAACUUCCUCCACCAUCACUGGACAUCCUGGAUAUACCCGAUCCACAAAACAUUUAUCCCCUCUGGGCAUAGAAAAUUCAAAAUUAUAUCCUCAAAGUGUAGGAUGAGGUUGCAUCACUUGAGCAAAUGUAUGAGAAAUAACAGAAUGUGUAAUACCACAAUCAAUCAAUACUCUGGCAAAAUGACCAAGAAUAUUUAACGUACCCAUGAUUAAAUCACGAUUGUUUUGAGCAUCUUGCAUUGUCAUGUUAUGGAUACGUCCCUAAUUCUGCUAUCAUCCACCACAACCUCUGUUAGCAUGAACACCACGUCCUUGCCUUGGCUGACCAGACUUCCUCGAAGAUCCUACACUGCUAGCAGCAAUCUCUACCUGCUGGGGCUAUCUCCCUUGAUACCACUGGGAUCCUCCGGCUGAAUGUGGCUGAUAGGGCAUAGAACCUCCCUGAUACUGAGGGUAACCACCCUGAUAAUGAGGAUCCUGAGAGUACUGAUACUGUCCUGAAGUAUAAGGAGCGACGUUGCCCUGAUAAUGAUAAGCAUCUCCUCGUCCAGUCUGGGCAUAACUACUAGAUCCUAAAGCUUGUUGGUUCGACACAGGUGGUGGUAAAGAAGGUUGUUGGGGCCUCUGCUGAUUCUGCAAGCAAUGAGCAGCUCUAUGCCCCAUUUGUCCAUAAGUAUAACAUGCAUUGCUGCCUCUUUUACACUCCCCAUAGUGCCUAUUAUUACACUUGCGGCAUAAAGGAGCACCUGAUCCACCUGAACCAGCAAAAUCUCUCUGCCUCUAAAAUCUCUGGCCUCCAGAAAAUCUACCACCUCUCAUCUGUAGAUUAGAGCUCAAACCUCCAUUAGAAAAGCUGGAACUGCCACCGCUUCUCUUAAAACUCUGGGUCUUACGAGGUCCCUGAAAUGAUUGACCUUUACCUUUAUCAUCUCGUCUCUGGUUCCCGUUCUUUUCUUCUUCAUCUUCACUUUCACUUGGCAUGUUCUCUGAGUCCUCAAUCCUCAGUAAAACUUCAUAAAACUCCUGGUAAGUGACACAGGGAGUCGAUGUCGCUAUAGAACGCCAUUUCUUCUUAGUACCCAACCUGAAGCGACGAAGCAUCUCGACCAGAUUAGCAAUAACCUCUGGAUCGUAUCGAGACAAAUCAGUGAACUUCCAAUAAUAUUCAUUCACCAACAUCUUUCCUUGUUUCCAAUGGGUAAACUCUUGUUUCUUGCGAUCAAUGUACUCAGGAGGAAUGAACCUUUUCCAAAACAACUGCUUAAACACUUCCCAAUCCUCUACAACAUCUGGUGUCAUUUGAUAUGACUCAUGUCUCCACCAAGAUGCAGGUACCGGACCCAGAAACUAGGUAGUCAUCUCGACCCACCUAUCAGAAGGAAGAUUCCCCUGACUCUGCAUCACAAAGUCUUCUCGACAUAAUUAAGCCACUUCUCCACUCCCUCAUGUCCUUUAUUUCCUAUGAAGUGAUUCAGCUUCAGAUUAUGCACAGUCUCAAGAGGUGUCCUUUAAGGAGGACGAAGCGAAUACUGAAUGGCAUUAGCAAUAGCUUCCCCUAAUUAAGCAAUAUCAGGGAACUAGGCUCAACUGAGUGACGGGGCUCUCUACGAGGCAGCAUAAUUCUGACAGAAGACAUCACAAGAAUUAGAAUAUUCAUGAACCAUACAGGACUGCUAAACCUAGCCUCUGAUACCAAACUGACACACCCCGAUCGGAAUCGAAGCAUGCUGGCCGUCACAUGAGGGUGAUGUAACCAUGUGCACAGUGCGGAAGCAAUAAAGAUAAGAGUUAUACGAAUAAAUAAAAACCGAAAGCUACUAAAGUGCACAAAAUAACCGGAAGUGCUAAGAGUGGAAUACAAGUGUAAAUACACCUAAUCAGAACAUAGAAAGUCUAGGUGCAGUCCAGUAGGACAAGUACUAGUCAUACAGUACCAAAUGUUUUACAAAACCACUUCAUUUCUCAAAAGUUCUAACCCCUCGCCGUAAAACAUGUAUAAUUUUCCCAGAAAUAGAAUAUAAACAUAUGCAUAAAUAUAUAUAUAUAUGUAAAUAUCUCAAUUCAAAUCAUGCUUCACAUAUUCAUAACCGUAAGUAUGCCAUGCCAAGAUAUAACAGAAUAAGUAAUUCAGGUGAGAAUAAAUUCAUGGAAAAUAACAUAUUAGCCGGAACCCUGUAGAAGUCUGUACGGCUGAAUUCAUAGCUCAUUAGUCAAUCUAGCCGGAGUCACUAUAAUGACCUAUACAACACUACACUGCACAUAAGUCGGAACCACUAAAAAGGGUCUGUACGACAAGACUGGGUGUAAUAUAGUUAUGCUCAAUAUUACGCUUUCAUGAUAGCUGGGAGAUAAAUCGCUAGUCACCUACGAGUCGGAACCACCUAUAAUGGCCUGUACGACAGGACUGUGCACCUUAAUUGGAUCCACUGUGCACGCUUUCAUGAUAACUGACGGAAUAUGCUCCUUCUUCCCCGACGAGUCACCAGACGCCAGCGACUGUUCGCUGGUUUCUGGAAAAGCUUCUAACCCUAAUUUCUACCUCAUUUUAGCAACAAACUUUAUGAAAUUUGAACCAUUUUGAAGAUCUCAUCAAGAUGAACAAAACCAUGCCUUUUACGAGCCCUAAAACCCACGGGAUUUGCCGGAAAACUCGUCAAUAUUCCGGCUAAACCUGCAACUCGUCGAAUCUUACUAUUCCGACGUCCAAAAUCUUCCAACAAACCACUUCUAGCCUCGUGAGGACGUCCUUAAGCUACCUAUAAACUUGAAAUCCCCAAAAACAUGAGAUUUUACGUUUGCAUGAACAGUACCUCAAAUCGGAGGUUAUGGUUUCUUGGGUUUUUCAAGGUCUCAAGUCCUAAAAAUGGUAUAGAUGAACUCAGGGACUUGCAAAGAGUUCUAAUCUUACCUUCUUGACGUUGAUCCGUGCGUGAAAUGCGAGUUUGGCGUUCGUCCAUACGUUAGGGAAGGAGAGAGAGUGAGUCCGAGGGAGAGAGAGCACGGGAGAGAAGUGAGAGGAAGAGUUUGUGUGUGUGAGUGGUCCACAUGGUCACCAACCAAAACCACAAAACCAAUUUCAAACUUUGUUCCAAAAAUUAAGGAAAAUGCAAGUUUGAACCACCAUUUACAUGCAUAACACACUACAACGCUCACAUCCAAGGGUAAAAUAGUCGUCAUCGAUAAUUUAUUUCUUUCGAUGGUAUGAUUCUCAAUCCACUCUACUGCACUUACUUAUGCUCUAACGUCACGUGUGAAGUGGGUUCAUUCCCGCUCACCAACGCA